rnacentral:rRNA from 1 species
UACGAAGGGGGCUAGCGUUGCUCGGAAUUACUGGGCGUAUAGGGCGCGUAGGCGGGUCGUCAAGUUGGGGGUGAAAGCCCAGGGCUCAACCCUGGAACUGCCUUCAAAACUGGCGACCUAGAGUAUGGUAGAGGUGUGUGGAACUCCGAGUGUAGAGGUGAAAUUCGUAGAUAUUCGGAAGAACACCAGUGGCGAAGGCGACACACUGGGCCAUUACUGACGCUGAGGCUCGAAAGCGUGGGGAGCAAACAGG